CCGAGUUCCAGGAGACCUCCCUCCAGGGGUGCAGGGUUGGCAGUCGCUCGCUCAGCAUGGACCUUUGGAAAUCCCCUGCAUCUGGUUUCCUAAUUACUGCAAUCUCGUCCCACCAAAAAAGACAUGGAAGGUCCUACCUCAUGUUCCCCCAGACUGGCUGGAGUGACACUGAUAGACAAGAAUUUCCUGGGAAGAAUCGUUGUCGUGUGGACAGAGAUGGUCCGAGGCACAGUCCAGACACUGAAGCUCUGCUGCUGUGGGCGGCCUCGAUGCUCAACACGGAGGGUCUCCUUAAAAGGGAGCGCGAACCAGAAACGCCGCAGCAGCGCUUCCAAACUUGGCCGAGCAUCGGAAUCACCUGCACGCCUUUAAUAAAAAGCUGAUGUCUGGUUCCCACCCCCAAGCAUUCUGAUUUCAUUGGUACAGGGUCCACCCUGGGCAUCAGCACUUAAAAGUGCCCUCGCCUCCAGUGAUUCUAAAAUGUAAACUUUGAGAACCACUUCACUAGAGCUAAAGGAGAAAGUAGGGAUGAAAUCACUAUUUGCGAUGCCCUGGGGACACAAGAAAAAAGGAAUAAAAGAUUGACAAGCCAUCGCAUAUGACAGGUUGAAAUCAGACCGCAGGAGCCCAGAAGAGACCUAGUCUGUAGCUCCCACCAAUAGAAGACAGAGAAGCGGGUGGUGGUGGAGAAACGCCCCGUGGGAAGAUCUGGGGCCUGGGCUGGACGUGGCGGCCUCAGUGGGAGGUCGGACAGAGGGGACUGGGGCACUGAGCAAGUUCUCUGCAUGAUCGGAGCGGGGAGGGCAGACUACUGAGAGAUGUAACCAGAGUGGGAGAAGUCUGACGUGUGUGUUUCAGAAGUGGAAGAUUCCCCAAGGGACUUUGGAAGGAGGAGGCCCAGGACCUCAGGAUGCUGUUUCUCUGCUACGGAAAAUAACGGCGGAGGACGGAGGCAUCGCGGAGGGAGGGCAAAAAGAUGUGGCGCACUGGAGGAGGAUGCGACGGCCUGCGUGGGAGGCGGAAGCACACUGGGGAGGUGUGUGACGGCGGCCACGAGCAGCCAGGAGGCUGCUGCAUCACCGAUGUGAGGAGGCCAGCGUGGGCAGAUGAUGCGGCGUGCAAAAGAUGAAAUGGAAAGGAAGAUACUGGUGUUUUGACAGCCUGGAACUGGCCCUGGGGAAGGAGGAAAUCCUACCCCCAGCCCGGUCACUGCUGAGGAGGAGAAGGGAGGAGAGAGGACAGCCUGGGCAGUGCAGCAGGGCAUCCAGGAGACGGAGGACCAGACUUACCAACAGGCCAGGAGAGGCAGGGAACGGACAAACCAUUGGUUAGCAUCAGGGGGCUAGUCUCUGCGAGCAGGAGUUUCACAGAGCUCCAGCGUGUGGGAAGGACCGGGCGGGGCGGCACAGCGCACGCAGCUGGGAGGAGAACAGAGAAUGGGAGUGCGGGCUGGAGACAGAAAGCAGCGGCACUGCGCUAACAGUUCUCUUGAUUUUUACUUAAACGGUUUAAAAAUGUAAAAACCACACUUACCUCGGGCACUGUACAGAGACAGACAGCAGCCCGCGGGCCGCCGUUUCCCAACCUCUGGUUUAGGCAGCAGCUUCUUCCCCAGAACUAUGCUCAGCAUCUCAGUGUCAAGCAGUAAUGGCUUUGGGCGGUGCCUGUGAGCCUCUGUGUUUUAUCUCAAUGUGUCCUGCACACCCAUUAGCAGGAUGUGUCCUAAGGCAACUGUCAGGCAUGUUCGCUCCUGUA